rnacentral:RNase_P_RNA from 1 species
AUAUCAGGACAAACGCUGCUAAGCAAUUAGUAGAGGAAAGUCCAUACUCGCAAAAUCUGAGAUGAUUUUAGUGUUUGUGCUAAGGGAAAAAAUAACCUUAGGUAGUUAUUACUAACGGCUUUGAAAUAACCUUAAAUGGUUAGAGUAAAUAUAAAAGUGCUAAAGAGACGAGUAUACUUGGAAACGAGUAUAGUGGAACGUAGUAAACCCCACAAGCGAGAAACCCAAAUUUUGGUAGGGGAAUCUUUCAAAGUAAAAUGAAACUAAGAAAGAACCGCAAGGUAGAUAAAUGUUUGUCACCUACAAUUGUAGGUACAGAAUAUGGCUUAUAUGA